CACCGCUGUUCGGCUGUGUCAGCCUCGCUUGGCAGCCUUUACUCCGGAGAAGACCUUCACCCUGGCGCCUGAGAGGACCUCACCCAGGGUGGCCCGUCAGCAGCACCUGGGCCUGGCUCGAGAGUGACCUGGGAGGGGGCUGAAAGGGCAGACAAGGGAGAGUCGGGGGAGUCGGUUCACAGGCAGCACACUUGACCUGUGAGGGGGCCCUCGGUGGGACGGUGGGUGAGGUCGCCUCCCACUGGAGCUUAGGGCUGGCACCCAGCGAGGGGCAGCAGGGC
rnacentral:lncRNA from 1 species